CGAGUUGGCUGUACGGUUGCGGGAGAGAAAUCUCACGAGGAAAGUCCGAGCUCCACACGGCAGGAUGCCGCCUAACGGACGGUGAAGGUGACUUUAAGGAAAGUGCAACAGAAAAUUACCGCCGAUUAAUAUCGGUAAGGAUGAAAAGGCGAGGUAAGAGCUCACCGCUUCUGCGGAGACGUGGAAGGCUGUGUAAACCCCAUCCGGAGCAAGAUAGGGGCAGUUUAUAAGAUAGCCGGUCGAAACUGCCUGCAAAACGUCGCUUGAACUUGUCGGCAACGGCAAGUCUAGAUAGAUAACCGUAUUAAAUGACAGAACUCGGCUUAUAGGCCAACUCGUAAU
rnacentral:RNase_P_RNA from 1 species